rnacentral:rRNA from 1 species
AUGAAGGGCAGGGGGGUCAAACUGAAUAGGGGAGAUGUGGCCAGACUCUGGUUCGAUGAAUUGGAGGGAAGGAUCCCAUUUAAAGAAAAAUUCCCAUUACUGUUUGAAAUCUGUGUUGAGCAAGAUUGUACUGUUGAUAGAAUCGACUCGUUGAAUCAUAUUACCUCCUUUAGGAGGAGGAUGUCCCCUGAAAUGAUGAAACAAUGGGAGGAAAUGAAAAAGGAGGUAUUAACACUUAAGCAAAACGGUCUGCCUGAUGAGAUUUAUUGGAAACUUGAUAACUGUGGAAAAUAUACGACCAAAACGAUGUAUAGAUGGUUGGAAAAAGAUAUUGCUGGGUCUAGUUUCAAAUGUAUUUGGGAUGCUAAGCUUCCCCUUAAAAUUCAAAUCUUCUUGUGGCAGGUGGGGCAAAAUGCCAUCCUGACUAGAGAAAAUAUGAAAAAAAAAAAGAUUUUGGCCCGGAAACCCCUAUUGUUCCUUCUAUGA